UCACUGGAGGACUAGUGGUUAGGCCACGGCGCUCACUACUGUGGCCCGGGCUCGAUUCCCGCCCAGGGAA
rnacentral:tRNA from 1 species